UACAAUGUUUUGACUCUUCGUUUUAUUUGAAAUUUUUUGUGAUUAAUAUUUUUAUUCUUACUAGAUGAUGAAACAUGAAUAAUACUUUAUGUGUGACUAAUUUUUUUAAGUUUCUAUAUAAAUUUUUCAAAUAAGACAAAUGAUUAAACGUUGGACACGGAAA
rnacentral:pre_miRNA from 1 species